AUCACGUUGAAACACCGAAGUUAAGCAGCGUCAUGCCAGGUCACUACCUUGAUGGGUGACCGCUUGGGAAUACUAAGUGCCGUAAG